UACGGAGGGUGCGAGCGUUGUCCGGAAUCACUGGGCGUAAAGGGCGCGUAGGCGGCCUGCUAAGUCGAACGUGAAAUCCCUGGGCUCAACCCAGGAACUGCGUCCGAUACUGGUUGGCUUGAAUCCGGGAGAGGGAUGCGGAAUUCCAGGUGUAGCGGUGAAAUGCGUAGAUAUCUGGAGGAACACCGGUGGCGAAGGCGGGUCUCUGGGCCGAUACUGACGCUGAGGAGCGAAAGCGUGGGGAGCGAACAGG
rnacentral:rRNA from 1 species